AUGAUCAAUAUUAGAGAGAAUGGUAUGUUGUAAUUCAUUAUGACAUAAUGCCAUCGCCGAAGGUGCAAGUUUAACGAAACUCUCAGGCAAAAGGAUAAUAUUGUGACG
rnacentral:ncRNA from 1 species